rnacentral:tRNA from 2 species
CUCCACGUGGCGCAGCCGGACAGCGCACCUGGCUACGAACCAGGGGGCCGGAGGUUCGAAUCCUCCCGUGGAGG